GGGGAUAUUGCACAAUGGGGGAAACCCUGAUGCAGCGACGCCGCGUAUAGGAAGAAGGUUUUCGGAUUGUAAACUAUUGUCGAUAGGGAAGAAAAAAGACGGUACCUAUCAAGAAAGCUCCGGCUAACUAC
rnacentral:rRNA from 1 species